rnacentral:lncRNA from 1 species
GCAUCCUCCUCUUCCUCGGGUGCUUUUCCUCCCUCCUCCCCUCCCUCUCUCUCUCCCUCCCUCCCCUCCCCGCUCGCAUUGCCUCCCUGCACCUUUAAGAAGCACAUUGCUGGCCGGUGGGAUGGUGUGUGCUAAAGCUGCACAGAGGAAGUUACGCAGCCGGGAUCAGGCACGGAGAUAAAAGCUCCGAUUGUGAUUGAAAGUGAGAGCAAAAGGGAUUUCAGCCUCGGCAUUAACUUGCGAGUGGAGCCGGGGAUUGCACAAAGCUUCCCCGGCCAUCUGCCCUUGGGGGCCGGCGGCGGAGGGGCUGGAGAGGGGUGAAGUGGAGGAGGAGGAGGAGGGGGGGGGGGAUGUCGGGUUAAGGGGGGGGUCCCCCCAGCCCCGAAGUUCGCUGCUCCGCCGGGAUCCCCGCACCGCAGAGCUCCCUCCCGGUAAGGACCUGCAGCGGCGAGCGGCGGGGCGGGGGGGCGGCGGGCAAGGCGCGGUGCCGGCAUCCCUGCACCCAUCUCCCAAAAACCAGCGGCUCUCCCCUCCUUCCCUCCCCGAAUUUGUUCCGAGGGUCUCCCGGGGUGUGUGUCGUGUCCCGUCCCGUCCCUUCCCCACACCCCACCCCCUCGGCAAAGGGAGGGUUUUUUAUUUUUCCUUUUGGGAGUUGGCAGAGGGCGGGAUGCGGGGAUGCUCGGCGCCCGGGGACGGCUCUCCGCCCGCUCCGCCGACUUCUCCCCCAGCCCCGGGCGGGCUCUAAAAGUCCUUUCGUGUAAAACAAACUAUAUAGGGGGCUUGGAGGUGGUGGGGGGAACAACAGCGGUUUGUCUGGACCCGCGAACGCCCGGCGGAGAGCGGCUGAAUGUGCAGCCCGCUAAUGAACAAUCCCUUUGCCCUGACCAUGAAAGAGAGGGGGGACCUCAGGUAGCAGCGUGGCUCGUAACUGAAGGCUUGGGGAACUUAAUGCUCAGUUGCCCAGAGGCAGUCAGACAGAAAUCCUCACCACCCCUGUGAGACACAGAGGGAGAAGCAGCAAGGCCAGUGCUGCCACUGUCAACCCUCUGACUGCACAGCAUCCUGCUGGGACCACUGCGCAUCUCACCACCCAACGCGGUUACAUUGACACCACCAUCCUUUGGGAGAAAGGAAUUUUAACUCCAAAGAGCCUCUCUUGUCAGAGCUGUUGUACUGAUGACCAGAUGCUAUAUUUAUCUUAUGUAUUAGUGUUCAAAAACCCCAAUAAUUAUUUAAGACAGACCACAGUUUAAGGCACUUUCCACAGCGACGCAUUUGCGGCAGACAAGAAGGUGGAGGAAAACCUGAUCCAGCACCAUCUCACGGCCUCUCCAAUUUACUCCUAUCAAAUUUCAUCAGCAACUCAGAACUUGAUCUUUCUAUUGAUUGACUGGAGUCACCUCUAGAUAUUUUCAUGCUGAUUUGGAAGCCUUUACAUACAAUAAAAGGCGGGGGAAAAAUGAGGUUAAGGAAGAC